CCUCUCUCUCUUUCUCUCACUCUCACUCCCACUUCCGAUCUAUGGAGAAGAUAAAGUUAAUGUACCGAUCGACACAAAAAGGCAACUAUAAUUUGGACCAUUGUUGGAACCUAUCAAGGCACCAACUAAAGUGGCAAGUGCAUGUGGAUAAUUUGCCAACA